UAAGAUCAAUUUCUACCAGCAAAAAGGAGUGAAAAUAAUAAAUCAGCAUGUUUUCUUGUACUCAUGUUGAGUUACAAAAUAGAGCAAUUGUAAGACAGUAUAUCUACCAAGUGACACAUCUAAAAUUGUGAUCGAUGCUCUUUCAUGUCAAUAAAGACAUCUAUUUUAGAAUCAAUUUUGAAACUCCAACAAAAAAUAUGUAUGUAUAUUUGUUGAGAUUGUUUGGACUUGUUCAAACAACAACAGCAUUUCCGAGGAGUCAGUCCGCAAAAAUUGAAAUGUCAGUCAAAUAUUUCAGAGAGGAUCAAUGGAACCCCAAUUCUGACUAUAGUCAAAUAAUUUCAGCAAGCUUCCAAACUGAGUGCUGAAGUAAUUUUUCCCAGGGGUGAGCGUGGUCCAUAUUGGUUCAGUUUGGAUUAAAACCAGAACCAAUCCGUUGUCUACGGUUUCAUAAAAAUUGGAAACAAAUCAAUCCAUUUAAAUCACAGAACCAAUCCGAAUCAAACCAUUUAAACAUGGUUUGGCUUGAUUUGGAAUCACGGUUUCACAUAAUCUAUUCACAAAGAAAAAUCAUGUAACAUUUUCAUUACAACAUUAAUUUACACAUGAUUUUUCAGAACAUAAACAUGCAUAUUGUUCUACCAUUAAUUUAAGCAAACAUUAUAUCUAGUAAAUAAACAUAUUGUUCAACAUGUAGCAAGCAUAAAACUCUCAUUAAACAAGAGGGUAGGAUAGUAUGCAUCGGGGGUGUAUGGUAUGUAUAUGGUCUAAGUUACAUACGGUUUGGAUCGGUUCUAAUCCGAAACCGUGAACUGAAAUCCAGAACCGAUUCGGGAGGAACAGUUUCUCAAGUUUCCAAUCUAGAAGCGAACCACGGAUUCAAAAAACCAAACAAAACCUAUCGGAUUAGAUUAAAUCAGUUCGAUUUGUAGAUUUUAUGGAUUCCUUGCUCAACCCUAGUUUUUCCACUUGAAAUACUUUUUUGAUUCUCUUCCAGUUUAUUCAGAUAAUUGACUAUGAACUAUUUUUGACCUCCUUGUUCAAUUUUUUAGGUUAAGGUAAAUAUUAAUGAUAAAUGAUACAUAUAAGGUAGUACAUUUGGGCUAGUAAGACGUACCGCUCAAAUCAGUACGAAAAGCUUAUAUGACAAUGUGUUUUGCAGCACUCUUAUUAAUCACUUUUGCUAGAUGGUUGAAGUAGGCCUACUGGAUAUAAUGUCUGUCUGUCUGAAAAUGUUUGCUGCAAGUUCUGAUCAACAGAUGGAAAAUGCAGGAUCAUGAAGAAACAGCAUGCCAGAAAAUGAAUGCAGUUUUAAUGAGAAUUUUGACACAUAUGCGUGGUAGCCUAUGGCUGCUCCGCCAGUCAGUUGUUAGCAUCCUUGGUGAUGUGGGUUCAAGUCACGUAAAUAGCCUCUGCAGAAACAGGGAUAAUGAUGGCAUGCCUCCACCAAAGCAUUAGCAUUGGAGGGAUCUUUGGAGAGCAAGAGCUUCUUAUUUUUAUUUUGUUUUAUUUUGUAUAGCCAGGGGCUAAAUGUGUAUGAGUUAGCUUCCUUUUGUUGUAACCAAACCAAGACUUGGAAAGAUGUAAACUCAAAGGGCAUUUAGUCAUGCUAAACUCUUUUUUAUUAUUAAUUUCAUGUAAUAAAAGGACUAUUUACUCU